CACGUAGGGUGCGAGCGUUGUCCGGAAUUAUUGGGCGUAAAGAGCUCGUAGGUGGCGUGUCGCGUCUGCCGUGAAAGCCCAUGGCUUAACUGUGGGUCUGCGGUGGAUACGGGCAGGCUGGAGGCUGGUAGGGGCAAGCGGAAUUCCUGGUGUAGCGGUGAAAUGCGUAGAUAUCAAGAGGAACACCUGAGGUGAAGACGGGUUGCUGGGCUGACACUGACGCUGAGGCGCGAAAGCCAGGGGAGCAAACGGG
rnacentral:rRNA from 1 species